UACGUAGGUGGCAAGCGUUGUCCGGAUUUACUGGGCGUAAAGAGCGCGCAGGCGGUCGUUCAAGUCGCGUGUGAAAGCCCCCCGGCUCAACUGGGGGAGGGUCACGCGAUACUGAUCGACUCGAAGGCAGGAGAGGGAAGUGGAAUUCCUGGUGUAGCGGUGAAAUGCGCAGAUAUCAGGAGGAACACCGAUGGCGAAGGCAGCUCGCUGGGACGGUACUGACGCUGAGGCGCGAAAGCGUGGGGAGCAAACAGG
rnacentral:rRNA from 1 species